rnacentral:rRNA from 1 species
GAUGAACGCUAGCUACAGGCUUAACACAUGCAAGUCGAGGGGCAGCAUUCUUGUAGCAAUACAAGAAAUGGCGACCGGUGCACGGGUGAGUAACACGUAUCCAACCUGCCUUCAACUCGGGGAUAGCCUUUCGAAAGAAAGAUUAAUACCCGAUGGCAUAGCAAUUCCGCAUGGUGUUGCUAUUAAAGAAUUUCGGUUGAAGAUGGGGAUGCGUUCCAUUAGAUUGUUGGCGGGGUAACGGCCCACCAAGUCGACGAUGGAUAGGGGUUCUGCGAGGAAGGUCCCCCAACUUGGAACCGAGACACGGUCCAAACCCGUAGGGGAGGCAGCAGUGAGGAAUAUUGGUCAAUGGGCGAGAGCCUGAACCAGCCAAGUAGCGUGAAGGAUGACGGCCCUAUGGGUUGUAAACUUCUUUUGUGUGAGAAUAAAGUGAGCCACGUGUGGCUUUUUGUAUGUACCAUACGAAUAAGGAUCGGCUAACUCCGUGCCAGCCGCCGCCGUAA